rnacentral:rRNA from 1 species
CACGAAGGGUGCAAGUGAAUAUUGUUAGUGUAUAGUUAAGUGAUAUAUGAGGAAGGUAAAAAUGAAUUUAUUAGGUGAAAUUUUAAAUUUGAAUAACUUCUUUAAAGGUUGUUGAAGCUGUGAAAUUUAAAGAUUAAACUA